rnacentral:lncRNA from 1 species
GGACGCUUGCUAUGUGACGCCACUUGGAAGGGACCCAGUAAGGGAUCUGUUGCGCCACAGGGGUCUCCAGGGCCCUCGCAGGUUGGGGUGGUCUGAGCUAGUCUGAAGGAGGACAGUCAGCUGACUUCUCCUUUAUCUCUCUUUCCCAGGAUAGCAGGUUCCCUUGGUGUAUUACAGUUUCUGAAGUGUUGAUUCCCUUUUCAAUUGAUUCCACAGAUGACAGUCCUGACGUUUAAAAAAUUGCCAGAUAACCUUUAAUUUUUUUUUUUUUAACAGAACACAAACUUAAGCCAGAUUGCCUAGGAUUGAACCUUGGCCUCUCACUUCCUAGACGAGUGGCCUUGGCUAGUUAACCACCUUCGUGAGCCUCAGUUUUGUCAUCUGUAAAAUGGGAGUCAUAAGUGUCUACCUCACAGAGCUGUGAUUGAAAGGAUAAAUAGCACCUUGCACAUAGCGGUGUAGAAGUGCUUGUUAUUGUUAAUAUUUUAUUUACCUUCACGCAGCCUACAGUGGCGGAAGUGGAGUAAGACAUCAUGUUGCCUCAAGUUUAAUUGGAAAUCGCGUGCCUUGUGAAGAAUGGACACUCAGUAGAUGCUUAUUGAUGAACCUGUUGGUUGAGGAUAACUCGCUAACUUUUCUGAGCUUUGUUGGAAAAACUAGACAGGGGUCUCACUAUGUGAUGCAGGAUGAUCUCAAACUCCCUGGCCUCAAGCGAUCCUCCUGCCUUGGUCUCCUAAAGUGCUGGGAUUACAGCAGGUCACUGUAUCUCUAUGCAUUACAGAAAAUGGCUAGUUAAAAACUUGUCAAGAGAUGGGGUUUUACUAUGUUGGAGAAGCUGGUCUCAAACUCCUGGGCUCAAGUCAUCCUCCCGCCUCAGCCUCCCAAAGUGCUGAGAUUACAGACACCCAAACACACUUGGAGGUCAUGUUCAAUAUGAAUACCUCACAGAGAAGGAAAUUUACACACAAGAAGUACAUCUGCAGAAAGCCAGCUGGCAUGUCAACCAUUCAAAAACUCAGGAAGUUCGGGAUAAAGAAGACUCAGGAAGACAAGUAUGAAGCAUAAUCUGCGACGUUCCAUGCGGCAGACGUUAGACACAUACAAGAGAGUUGUUGAAAAGUGGAAUUUAUCUUCAUAUAAACAACACUGAGCUAAAUCUCAAUAUUUCAGAUCUCUAGAACUAUCCAUCAAUGAAAUGGAUUGCAAAUAGAAAGAGUAAUACCAUGUCACUUAAGAAUACAAUCAUGGACGAUGCUGCCACCUGCUGUUGGGGGCCACUGCAGAAGAAAUUCCAGAACACUGGACUGGAGAGCACCUCACUUUCCUUACAGCUCUAAGUUUCUGACUCAGUGACCUGAUUCAGUACCAUAUACACAAAGACCCACUUACACAAAUGACUGUUCUUCACACUAGGCCCAUGGAGACAGGGAUAAAAUUCUGAAUUUGCUCAGAUACCUUCUCUGCUAUUGACAUCUAGGCAUUACACAAUUCAUCUCUUCAUACUUAACCUUUGAAGUUUGCUACUUCUCAGAGAGACUAAUGAGUAGUGAGCAAAUAUCCUGAAGCUGAGAAUGCUUCUACCUCCUCUCAAAACAACAGAAUAUUCAUCAAAACACAGCAGUUCUGCACUUAACUUUAGGCCUUUUCUAACACCUCAUUUCUUGGCAGUAACUGUGGCCAGAAUAGCUCUUUCCACAGAGAAAGGACCUUUUGAAAGGAUAGGGUCUCUAGAUAGAAAAGCAAAUGCCUCAUUCCAGAAGGUCUUCAAGAAGAAAAUGUUGUGGUGAUAACAAACAUAACUGAUUAUAAUCUAUUCUGUGAAAAAAGCUUAUGAAACAGUAGAUGUGUGUAUCUAGUACAUAAGAGCUGAAUGUCAAUAUAUAUAUAUAUAUAGAUAUAUACACACACUCAAAUAAAUAAUAGUUAUCUCUAACUAGAGAAAUUCUAGUUGCCUUAUAUUUUCUUCUUUUUCCUUACUAUAUUUUCUACAAUAAACAUGUGUUUUUAACAAGAAAA